rnacentral:tRNA from 2 species
GCCGGGGUUGCAGAGUGGAACUGCGCCAGCCUUGAGAGCUGGUGCCUUUUUGGGCGCGUGGGUUCAAAUCCCACCCCCGGCG